UACGGAGGAUGCGAGCGUUACCCGGAUUUAUUGGGUUUAAAGGGUGCGUAGGCGGCCGAGUAAGUCAGCGGUGAAAUUUUGCAGCUUAACUGUAACAGUGCCGUUGAUACUGCAUGGCUAGGAUUUGGUUGCUGUGGGUGGAAUGUGUGGUGUAGCGGUGAAAUGCUUAGAUAUCACACAGAAUAUCGAUUGCGAAGGCAGCUCACAAAGCCAAGAUUGACGCUGAGGCACGAAAGUGUUGGGAUCAAACA
rnacentral:rRNA from 1 species